rnacentral:rRNA from 1 species
UACGUAGGGGGCAAGCGUUGUCCGGAAUCAUUGGGCGUAAAGAGCGUGUAGGCGGCCAGAUAAGUCCGCUGUGAAAUCUCGAGGCUCAACUUCGAGCUGUCGGUGGAAACUGUCUGGCUAGAGUCCGGAAGAGGAGAAUGGAAUUCCUGGUGUAGCGGUGAAAUGCGCAGAUAUCAGGAAGAACACCCGUGGCGAAGGCAGAUCUCUGGGACGUUACUGACGCUGGAGACGCGAAAGCGUGGGGAGCGAACAGG